rnacentral:misc_RNA from 1 species
UAAAAAUUGAACUAAAGAAAGGUAGUUACAAGACAUAGCUAGCUGCUACACGUCUUUAGACCUUCAUAGGCAUAUUCCUGCUAAGGAGCAAAACCUACACAAACUGAUGAACCAGAUAGGAGGAAUUAACAUAGCAAUAUAUUUUUUCCUCCACUACCCAUUAGAGACUCUUUAGUUGCCAGAAAAAUGGGCUCCAUGUAUAGUAUCAAUCUAACUCAAAGGUUUUUCAUGGAAAAUUCAUCGAAGCAAGAGCUUACGAGAAGCUGUGCACCAGCGAGUGUAGCAAUCAUGGAGGUUGGGCCAGUCGGAAGAAGGGCAAUAGGUGAAAUGGUGAAGCCAAAGGGACAACACCUUUUCUUGCUCCUCUUCUUGUUCCAAUGUCCAUAUGAUCUGCUCUAAUAUUCUUUCAAGCUCAGCCCUUUCGCUAAUACUCAGGACUGGAGAGUCUGUGCCAUUGCUUGCUCGACAUAGCAAUGGCAGCCAUGACAUCAGCAUAUUCAUGUUUGUUCGCCUGCGAUGCUCUUUUGUACUUUCUUCAUCCUCGGCAAUCUUUACUAUUUCUCUGGAUUGUUUGAAUAAGAAAGCUGAAACCUUAACAAGAGACCCCUGAAGCCGCGGUUCAGCAGAAAGAGCAACCCAAGCAACAUGUGAAGCCGAAGCCCACAUAUAAACAGCUUCAUCAACACAACCACAAGCUUCCAUCUUCUGAGCAAGCCAUAACAACUCCGCCGCCAGCUUCUCAGCCGAGCACCCAAAUUGGCUCAUCUGGUUCCUCGCCCUACCGCGCUGCCACACAACGUCUCCAUAAUACCUAAUCGCCCUCAAACCGCGGCUCAACUUACCUACGUAAUCACCGCCAUCUCGGCCUCCACCAGACACAAAUCCACUAACACCUCCGCCUUCUUCCGCCAUCAUGGCGGAUUCAAGCUGAUUAAGCGUCCGCGUAAAAGCCGCAGACAAAGCGGCGCAAUUCACUUCCCUCAAUGCUUCGUUACCCUCCAAGAGAUUUUCAUCAAUUAGCCUCUCGGCCAAUGAUCUCACAACUUCAUAUUUCCUUGAACUCACCGGAAUAUCAUUCACAAUUGACAACAAUUGAGUCAAAGCCCUAGAUAUCCCCGACUCCGCACCGCCGCCCGCGGCGGCCGGAGAAUAAAUCUCCCCCUUUUUAGGCUUCAAAGGGUAACCGUAAUUUUCUCCGGAAGGAUUCAGCGAAGGAAAUAAAGAUGGUAAAAGGCGAAGAAAGAAGAGAAAAGCUGAAAUCAAGAAAUAACGUAUAGUUUCCAGAAGUUUAUAUCUUUCUGCUAAGAGAAUGAAGGGUUUAUCAGCGAUGAUAAACGCCGAUGUCAAUAAGUUUCUCAGAAGCAACGGAGCUAUGGAGGAAGAAGUACUUUCUGUCAUGGCCCCUUG